UGAAUACGAGACGCUACGGCGUUGAAGCAGUCUAUGUCAUACUUCCAAGAAAAGCUCGCAAUGUCAUAAACAAAUAAUGCCUGUACCAUAACCGACACAGGUGGGUAGGUAGAGUAUACUAAGGGGCGCGAGAUAACCCUCUCUAAGGAACUCGGCAAAAUGACUCCGUAACUUCGGGAGAAGGAGUGCCUUAUUUAUAAGGUUGCAAUAACAAGAUCCAAGCAACUGUUUAUCAAAAACACAGGUCUCCGCUAAGUCGUAAGACGAUGUAUGGGGGCUGACGCCUGCCCAGUGCCAGAAGGUUAAAGAAGUUGGUUAGCAUUCGCGAAGCUGAUAACUGAAGCCCUGGUGAACGGCGGCCGUAACAAUAACGGUCCUAAGGUAGCGAAAUUCCUUGUCGGGUAAGUUCCGACCCGCACGAAAGGCGUAAUGAUUUAGAUACUGUCUCGGAGAGGGGCUCGGUGAAAUAGACUUGUCUGUGAAGAUGCGGACUACCUGCACCUGGACAGAAAGACCCUAUGAAGCUUUACUGUAACCUGAAAUUGAAAUUGGACUUUAUUUGCGCAGUAUAGGUGGGAGGCGUUGAGAGUAUUCUUGCGGGAAUAUUGGAGCCAUCAGUGAGAUACCACUCUUGUAAUGUUAGAUUUCUAACUUUGUAUCAUGAUCUGGUCAAAGAACAGUUUCAGGCGGGCAGUUUGACUGGGGCGGUCGCCUCCCAAACGGUAACGGAGGCGUACAAAGGUUUCCUCUGAACGGGUAGAAAUCGUAUCUAGAGUGUAAAGGCAUAAGGAAGCUUGACUGUGAGACCUACAAGUCGAGCAGGGACGAAAGUCGGUCUUAGUGAUCUGACGGUGCUGAGUGGAAAGGCCGUCACUCAACGGAUAAAAGUUACUCUAAGGAUAACAGGCUGAUCUCCCCCAAGAGUUCACAUCGACGGGGAGGUUUGGCACCUCGAUGUCGGCUCAUCGCAUCCUGGGGCGGUAGUACGUCCCAAGGGUUGGGCUGUUCGCCCAUGAAAGCGGUACGCGAGCUGGGUUCAGAACGUCGUGAGACAGUUCGGUCCAUAUCCGGUGUAGGCGUUAGAAUAUUGAGAGGAGCCUUCUUUAGUACGAGAGGACCGAGAAGGACAUACCUCUGGUGUACCAGUUAUCGUGCCAACGGUAAACGCUGGGUAGCUAUGUAUGGAGAGGAUAACCGCUGAAAGCAUCUAAGUGGGAAGCCCACCUCAAGAUAAG
rnacentral:rRNA from 1 species